GAGAGGCAGAAACCAGUCCAAGUGCACUCUCAAUCCCAAAUGUACUUUUUUAUUAAAAAAACCUCUCAAAACAUGGAAGUUGGCUGAGAUAUUUUCUUCUCUCUCCCGUCCACGUACACAAACUGUAGCUUUUUAUAUCCAUCUCCAACAACAUAAACAGUUACGCCAUUCUUCCAUUUUACUUCCAGGGAAUAAUAAUCAGAUCCCUCCCUCUUCUCUGUUACUCUCCAUCUUCUUCGUUUUCUCUCCCCUACUGAUUAACGGAUUUGAUUUUUGUCGGUAAAUGAGCAAUCCUACUAGAACUAUGCACAUACACAUUUCAGUAAUAUUUUGUUACUGUAACUUCUUCUUCUUCCUCUUCUUUUAUUUUGCGUGUGUGAUGGGAUAUUGUUGCCUGACUUUAUAUUGACGUGUUCGUUGAUUUCCUGCAUCAAAUUUAUAGUCUAUCUAGCGAUUCUAUAUGGUUUUUGGUUUUCUAGGUUUUCUUGGAUGGCUGUUUUUUCUUUGUGUGACGUGGUCUAGGGUUCCUUUUCCUUUGUUGUAGAAAAGAAUUGUUACAACGUAGUGGUUUCGGGAACUCUAUAAAUGUAAGAAUUUAACUUAAUAAUUAACACAAUGGUGCGAGAGGGGUUUCCUUAGGUUAUGUGAGUGGGUGUAAUUGAGUUUUGGGAUUGAGUUUGAAAAUCAUACUCAAUGGUCGUGCUGUAUUUAUCCCUAAUAGUUAAGAGUUUCUUUUCUUUUUAUCUUUUUUUCUUGCUUACGGGAUUUGCGAAACCGCUUAAAAAAUUUGGGAUUGAGUUUCUCUAUUUUGAAUUUUCCAUUAAAUUGUCAUGCCCGGUAACUGGUUUUCAUGCAAUCCUGACUACAUGAACAAGUGGUAGUGGGGAUAACCAAUCGGCUUGGAUGCAAUCGCAACUAUUGGUAUUAAAGCUUGGUUGAUUUAGUUUGAGAUUCAAUACGUGGUCGAGAAAUUAAUAGAAGAAAAUGAAUAUGGCAGAAAACGAGGGGGAUUUGGCCCUUCUACUUCAUGCUUUGAUUUGUUGUGUAAUGGGGAGUUUGAGCAGGGAUUUGCUUUCUUCUUUUUUUAUUUUUUAAUUCUUGCGAUGACUAAUUGCCUAAUGAAUGAAUCGUGUGCUAUAAGAAACUGCAUCGUGGAUGUUUUUCUAUUUUUUGAUUAGGCUAAAAAAAAGAGAGAUCUGUUGUAUUUUUUUUUCUGCCUUCUUUAAUUGGUGGUUAUUACUUAUUACUAGUUUGCUUGAGAUUGCACACUGGACAAUUAUGUUGUGUACUGUGUUAUUGUCAUGAAGUUACAGAAACUGUUUAUUAAUGUGAAACUGCCUUGACAGUGACUGUUAACCUGUGCCCUUGGUCCCUUAUAUUGAGCCCGGAUUCUCUUGCAAAUAAUGUAUUGGAAGAGAUAUUGCACACUAUACUUCUAGUGAAGAUUAAAGUUUAUCUUCAAUGAACAUGACAUCCAAUGUAAAGGGCAAAAGGAAAUGCUAGUCAAAAUUAACAUUAAUUAUGUGUUUCUAGGUGGCUCUGUAGAACAAACACGCAAACAUUACGAGGUGAAUGCAAAGCUUUUUGCUGAUUGAAUACACAGAUUCUUUAAUUAGGUUUGGUCAUCAGUAUGCUGAAUAACUGUAGAUGGUGUUUGAAGUUGUAGGUAUAGAUGAUUCUGGGUGCUGCCAUGUCCAAGUUCGUGUUACUUUCUCUAUCCUUUUAAUGGAUCUUUUAGUAUCCAGAAAGUACAGAAAGGAGAUUUCAGGAUUCAUUUUAAUGGGUGAUUUCUCAAUUGAAAGAUAAAUUUUUAUUGGGGACAAUUCAUUUGUAUCACCACUUGCUCCAUUCCAACACAAUGGAAUUUGAUUUCUUGCUUCUGAUUUUAUAUCUAAAACUCAAUUUGCAGUAGGCUUACUGUGUCAUUUCCCCCUUCAUGUUGUAGUAAAGGUAGAGUUUUCUUUCUUUUCUUUAUUUUUUCUGCUCAACCUAACAAUUGCUUUUUCUUUCAAUGCUUAAGGACAAAUUUGUUCCUGAGUUAUCAAACCACCCAUUUAGUAGAUGUUUUAUACCUUAUGUAGAGGCCAAUAUCACUUCAAAGUUAGAAUUUGGUACCUCUAUUUCAUGAUUUCUAUUUUCGCUGGUCUCAGUUUUAUUUUCUUGCUUAUGGUGAUGUCCAUUUAUGUUUCUAGAAACUAGUUCAGGGCAUGCUACUAGCUUCCCAUUAUUGGUUAACAAGAUAUGCUUUUAUUCAGGAGACGUGGUGAUUGAUUUUGCUAUGUGCAACUACUUUCUGGCAAACCUCUACAUAAUCUUCAGAAAAAGAGCCAUCUUACUCAAGGGAAAUUGCCUACAAAUGGGCAUGGGUUGCAGAGGUGCUGAUUCAGAUAUUGGAUAAAAUAACUUUAUGGAAUAUGUGAACGGUUUGAUGGAACACGCUUAAUAAAUUGGAAUGUCACUUCUGAAGUGGAGAAUCUAUUGCUGGCUUCCCAUAAUAUAUUGAUGGACCAUUUCUGAGAGGCAAAAUGCUUUUAUAUUCUCUUCCUUGUACUUUAAAGGAUCCUGACUGGUGUUGAACUUCAGAUAUUGGAUUUUGUCCACUGCAUUUACCGAGGAGUCCUGUCUGCUUAGAGCUUGUCUGCCGAGUUCUAUGCUAGACCUGGAAAAGGGAAAUAAGGUACGAACAUCAAUUCUACAAAGCAUUCUUCAGACGGUUUCAGAUUUAUAACUUAUAUUCUCAAGAUAGUGAGUUUUUCUUUCUUUUACAAUAUUACUGCACAAACUGUGACAUGAUGUUCAAUUAAGUAUUUAUUCAUAGCUGACAAAAUCCAUGAUAGAGAAUAUAAAUUUGUGGCAUUGUUAAGCACCUUUUCCCUUAUUGCCUAGGUUUUAUUUCUUUUAUCAUUAGGUUUUGUUGUGUUUUUGAUAUGGGACAAAAGAGAUUUAAAACUAAAGAAGAGAGAAAAGAAGCAGCUACGAAGAAAAAACCAAGGAAAGAGAAGAAAAAGCAGAAGAAGAGAAGAACGGGGAAAAAUCUCGAACUAUGCAAUUUUUAUUCAAUUCAUCAACAACUUGUUUGACAUUUAGAAAAAUAGAAUAUAAAUACUAAAACCUUAACUAGAACAAAUAAUACAAUAACUAGACCAAGCCUAAUAAAUAAACCUAAAUAAAACAAUAAUGAAAUUAAGCCCAAUAAAUAAACCCAAAUAAAAUCCAAUAACACAAGGAUUGAGCUAUCAAUGAUAAUAAAAAAGACCAAUGACAAAAUUUGAAUGGCAAUUUAUAAAGUGAGCAAAUAAAUUAGGGUGUAAUGCAAGGAAGGUAUUAUUUUUUAGGCACAUAAGUAAUCAAUGAUAAUUUGAAUAAUAAGUGUAAUGCCACAAUAAAAUUCGAUAUAUCAAAAGGUAAAGUGAUUUACUGUUGGGAAGAUGCUGGAAGCUACUGCUGCUGACAUGGUGAAGAGUGCUGACAUGGCAUUGGGUGGCAAUGCGCUACUGAUGUGGUGAUGACGUGGCAAUGCGCAACUGAUGUGGCAGUGUGCGGUUGACAUGGUGAUGCUGUUGAUGUGGCAAUACGACGCUGACGUGGCAGUGCGACGCUGACGUGGCCGUUUGCUGCUGACGUGGCCGUGUGCUGCUGGCGUGAACGUGUGCUGCUGACGUGGCUACACGAGGGGUUUUUUUUUUUUUUUUUUUUCAGAACUGGGUUAUAAAACAAAAAGAUUAUUUUUUUUUCCAAAUCCGGGUUGUAAAUAGAAAGAUUAAUUUUUUUUUCAAUCGUUGAUAAUGAUUCUACACAGUUUCUAGGGUUUAGGAACUAUGUUGAAUUUUAAGGAUUUUCACAAGCUCUAAGAGAUUGAUUAUCUGUAAAUACAAUUAAAAGUCUGUACUCUGAUACCAAAGUUGAUGUGGGACAAAAUAGAUUUAAAGUUAAAGAAGAGAGAAAAGAAGAAGCUAAGAAGAUAAAGCUAAAGAAAGAUAGGAUAUAAAUGCUACCUAACAAUAAUUAAAUAAAUAAAUAAACCUAAAUAAAAUCAAAUAACAUAAGGGUUGGACUAUCCUCCAUUAUCAUAGAUCAUGUGAACCAUGUCUCGGGUAUGUUGUCCCCAUCAGUUUUACUACAAGGAUUAUGUAUUGUUAACUAUAAAUCAAGCUUUCUGAUUUGGUAACUAUACUUUAUCCCAUUGGAAAUUGGUAUCUUGUACGAUUAGGUCAAUUGUUAUUAUUUUGUAAACUCUUAUUCAUUGUCUUCUUUCAUGAAUUUCCAUUUAAAGAAUUGAAGAAUGUAUACUAUUACAGAAAAGAGCAUAGAGAUCAGAACUUCCAAUCAAAUAAUGAUCAACAAACGCACAAGUCUUUCACUUAGAUUUUUACGAAUCUCUCUCUCUAAGAAAAGCAUAUAUAGAUACCACAUUUCAUUUAGCAGUUCAUUUCCAUUGAGCACAUUUAAAUUUUUUAGACAUCUAUUAACACCUGGCUCACAUUGAGCUUUUCAUUAUUGCAUAUUUGAUAUGGAUAGCUGGUCUGGCAAUUAUUUACACCAACCUCUAAACUUAGUAUUAAACAUAUCAUACCAAAUAGGAUGGUCCUGCUGCCGAGCAUCUUUCACAUGAUGCUUGAGAUCUCAUUGUUAAGCUUGGAUCUGUGUGGUGGAUGAUGACUGAUAAGUGAUAAACAUCCACAGUUGUCAACUGCUUUAAUAUUGGAGUUGCAACCUUUUGCAAAUUUUGAAAAGAAUGUCAUCAGAUUUUUUGUUAAGUCAAUUGCUCUGAUAAAGAUUAGUAUACAAUUUCUCAUAUUGUGAAGAGAACUUACCCCAGUUUCAUUGAGCUUGCUGGUGCUUCACUGUUGUGAGGCUGAGGCUGGGGCUGGCUCAAUUGGAGACGGAUUGGGGCAUGCAAGUCAUAUCCAUUUUCUACCGUGUAGGGUGGCCGGGAAGCUCUGUUUGCUUCAUCCACAUUCCGUUCUCCAUAAACCUGGGAUAAGAAACUUCUAAUUUAGGCUUUUAGCAUGUUGAUGAAUGUUCACUUUCUAAAAUCUCAAGUUCAGGUUCCACAGGCCUUUUAGCUCACUGCUAUAUAGGUAUGGUUCCCAUACACUAGACUUGAAUUCUAGAUUUGUUGUGUAAGAGCUACCUGAUUGUAGGAGGGAGUGCAUUCUAUGAAGAAUGUGUGUAUAAAUUCUUUGUAGGUUCCUUAUUUCGUGGUAAAAAGUGAAGUUCAGAGUUGAAUGGGAGAUGGAUAAAAUUUCUUAGUGAUACAUGUGUUGCCAAGACUAGUACCUUACGCAAUUCUGCAUUUUCUUGACCGAUGAGGUCAACCUUCUUAUGCAGUUCUAGGUUUUCUUGAUAAAUUAGAUUACCCUGCAAUGAAGCCAAUCAAAGCCAGUGAGCAUGAGAAUGUCUCCACAAUCAAUUUGGGAAAUAUUGAAGGCAAUAGUCCAGAAAACCUUUUGGCUCAUCUCUUUAAUUUCAUCAGUUAAAAUUUGUUCCUGUGUGCAAAAAAAGGCUGCAUUAGCAUCAACUGCAUGCUGCAUACAUGUACAAAAAGUGAUCUUGAGAUCAGUAUAGGUUUACCUUUUUAAUUCGAACACCUUUCAUACUCUUCUCCAGCUGGUUUUCUAGAUUUUCUAGAUCUUUGAUGCUCAAACCAGACAGUUCUUCUCCCAUCAAUUGCCUGCAACAUCUCAAGGCAAAUGUUAGGUAUGGUGCCGGAGUUUUAUACUUGUCCAUGAAUAUAGUGUUAGAAAGAAAACUUGUCCAUGGAUGCAUAAAUCUAUUAGUUUUUCUCGUGGCAUAUGUGGCUACAACCACGAUCGAUGAUGUGAAACAUAACAUGGCCGUAAAUUUUUUUAACCACACAGCCUACACCAUUAUUUUAAGGCCAACGGUGACGUGUUGUUGAGAUCCUCUAUUGAGAAUAUUCAGUGAUAAUUAACUUUACCGAUGAUAUUCUUUCAAGCACUGCAGUUCCUUCCCCAAGCUUGCUGCCUCCCUUUUCCACAACUAGGAGCAGAAAAUGAAGCACAUCACAUAACAAGCAAUAAUUUGGAGUAGAAUAGAAUUGAUGAGAGCUGCUUGAAGAAGUGAUUGCCUUAUAAAUCUGCAUGUUCAUGCUACAGUCUACAGAGAACACUUAAUGAGAUGGUCGUGUAUUCAGUUUUGCACAGAGGAAUUUUGUUUAUGAAUAUUGUAAAUGUUCCUGUAUGGCGACGUUACUAUUGUGUUUGGUUGCAGGAUAAAAUUAAAUUGAACAUGGCUUGGCAUAAUAGAAAAUCAUUGUGCAUAGCGCAUGCACAGACAGACUUGUGUAUAUCCUUUUGAGUUAAUGAAAUGUUGAGAUUGGUUCUUGUA